rnacentral:rRNA from 1 species
CACGGGGGGAGCAAGCGUUGUUCGGAAUCACUGGGCGUAAAGGGCGUGUAGGCGGUCAAGUAAGUGGAGUGUGAAAGCCCCCGGCUUACCCGGGGAUCUGCAUCCCAAACUGCUUGGCUUGAGUACGGGAGAGGAUAGGGGAAUUCCUGGUGUAGCGGUGAAAUGCGUAGAUAUCAGGAGGAACACCGGUGGCGAAGGCGCCUAUCUGGCCCGAUACUGACGCUGAGGCGCGAAAGCUAGGGGAGCAAACGGG